rnacentral:rRNA from 1 species
AGAGUUUGAUCAUGGCUCAGGAUGAACGCUGGCGCGUGCCUAAUACAUGCAAGUCGAACGAGGUGCUUGAGUAGCAAUACAAGAGUAUCCUAGUGGCGAACGGGUGAGUAACGCGUUGGUGACCUACCCCAAAGUGUGGGAUAACAGUUCGAAAGAACUGCUAAUACCGCAUGUGGUUAUUGGAUUUAGAAACUGAUAACUAAAGGAGCAAUUCGCUUUGGGAGGGACCUGCGUCCCAUCAGCUAGUUGGUGAGGUAAUGGCUCACCAAGGCUACGACGGGUAGGGGACCUGAGAGGGUGACCCCCCACAAUGGAACUGAAACACGGUCCAUACACCUACGGGUGGCAGCAGUAGGGAAUAUUGCACAAUGGGCGAAAGCCUGAUGCAGCAACGCCGCGUGUGCGAUGAAGGCCUUCAGGUCGUAAAGCACUUUUCUGAGAGAUGAGCAAGGACAGUAUCUCAGGAAUAAGUCUCGGCUAACUACGUG